GGAAUAAUUAGCACUUAAGAUGUCUGUCUUGUGACUGUUGUUAUAAUAUAAUUGGGAUUUUUGGUCUAGCUUAUGAAAUGAGAAAAAUGAAUACAUCAUUAUUUUUAAUCUGUCUGCUCAAUAACUGGUGUUAAAGAGACAACCAUGUAAGUUAUGGUAUGGUCGAGAAAAGGUGAUUUAAGGUCUUGUUAACACAACAAAGUAAUUUGGGUAUACUAAGAACAAUGGGACAAGUAAUUCAAUCAAUACAGAUAUACUUCAUAGUUGUAGAUCUUACCUUAAUAUUUUUCUUUAAAACUCAUGAGAAAG